rnacentral:rRNA from 1 species
GACGAACGCUGGCGGCGUGCUUAACACAUGCAAGUCGAGCGGUAAGGCCCUUUCGGGGGUACACGAGCGGCGAACGGGUGAGUAACACGUGGGUGACCUGCCCUCAGCUCUGGGAUAAGCCUGGGAAACCGGGUCUAAUACUGGAUAUGACUCCAUGACGCAUGUUGUGGGGUGGAAAGCCUUGUGCGGCUGAGGAUGGGCCCGCGGCCUAUCAGCUUGUUGGUGGGGUGAUGGCCUACCAAGGCGACGACGGGUAGCCGGCCUGAGAGGGCGGACCGGCCACACUGGGACUGAGACACGGCCCAGACUCCUACGGGAGGCAGCAGUGGGGAAUCUUGCGCAAUGGGCGAAAGCCUGACGCAGCGACGCCGCGUGAGGGAUGACGGCCU